GGAAGCCGGCUCACCUACUUUUGCCCUCUCAAAGGUCAUUUCCUGCAUGGGAUCGAUAGUUUCCUGUUUACUUACUCCUGGGGAGGGAACGUGUACACUCGCUUCCUGGAAUAUAACCGGCCUUCCUCCGUGAUGAAGUACCCACCAUGAUGCAGUACCCACCAUGAUGCCUGCAGUACCCACCAUGAUGCAGUGCCCACCAUGAUGCAGUACCCACCAUGAUGCCUGCAGUACCCACCGUGAUGCAGUGCCCACCAUGAUGCAGUACCCACCAUGAUGCCUGCAGUACCCACCGUGAUGCAGUGCCCACCAUGAUGCAGUACCCACCAUGAUGCAGUGCCCACCAUGAUGCAGUGCCCACCAUGAUGCAGUACCCACCAUGAUGCCUGCAGUGCCCACCAUGAUGCCUGCAGUGCCCACCAUGAUGCCUGCAGUGCCCACCAUGAUGCAGUACCCACCAUGAUGCCUGCAGUGCCCACCAUGAUGCAGUGCCCACCAUGAUGCAGUACCCACCAUGAUGCCUGCAGUACCCACCGUGAUGCAGUGCCCACCAUGAUGCAGUACCCACCAUGAUGCCUGCAGUACCCACCGUGAUGCAGUGCCCACCAUGAUGCAGUGCCCACCAUGAUGCAGUGCCCACCAUGAUGCAGUACCCACCAUGAUGCAGUGCCCACCAUGAUGCAGUACCCACCAUGAUGCAGUACCCACCAUGAUGCAGUGCCCACCAUGAUGCAGUACCCACCAUGAUGCAGUGCCCACCAUGAUGCCUGCAGUGCCCACCAUGAUGCAGUACCCACCAUGAUGCCUGCAGUGCCCACCAUGAUGCAGUACCCACCAUGAUGCCUGCAGUACCCACCGUGAUGCCUGCAGUGCCCACCAUGAUGCUGUUGGUUCUCCGGUCUCUUCGGUGGUUCUUCCUGGCAGCCCACCCCCAUCUCCCAUCGGAGUGUCUGCUUGCUUUGCUAGUGAACUUCUGCUUGAAUUGUGUCUCUUAAUUCUUUCAAGAAUGCAAGAACCAAGGCUAUGAUAUGGCUCAGCAGGAAAAGACGCCUACUGCCCUGCCUGAUGACUCAGUUCAAUACCCCAAACCCAUGUGGUAUGAGGAGAAAACCAACUCCCACAAGAUGUCUUCUGACCUCCACAUGCACCUCCUCAUAAAUGUAUUAAUGAGAGUCAAGAGCCGGUCGGUGGUGGCACAUGCCUUUAAUCCCAGCACAAGGGAUGUAGAAGCAGGCAGAUCUCGGAGUUUGAGGCCAGCCUGGUCUAAGGAUACUCAGAGAGCCUAGCCUAGCUCAAAAAAAAAAAAAAAAAAAAAAGCCAAAGUCCUUGUAACAAACAUUCUAACACCUUUUUUAAUUGUAUGGUUUCAUAGAUAUGUAGACCUAUGUUUCGAUAAAUAUUUCCAGUUUUCCAAACAUUUUUGGGGAGGGGUCCCAUUUAUCUGUCUACAUACCCAUUAACAAUGUAUGGACUAUAUGUGGUGGUUCUGAGUUUGAGGCCAGCACUUGAGACUGAGACAGGAGGACUGCUACUAGUUCAAGGCUAGUCUGUGGUACACAGUGAGACCCUGUCCAAAAAAAAGCCAAAACCAGGGCUGGAGAGCUGGCUCAGCUGUUCAAAGUGCUUGGUGCCCUUCCAGAGUUGGGGGAGGGGGAGGGAUG
ensembl:lncRNA